UGUUCUUCUCCAACCCUUUUCUUCUUCUUCUGCAACAACAACAUAUUUCCCCAUCUUCACCAUUUUUCCUUCAUCCUCAUGAUCCAUCCACUCACACUCACACCAUUUCUCCAUGUUUCACCUUCCAUUAACAUAAAAACAGCCACAGUUACAACAACACUUCUUGCAACUUACAAACAACAACACUAUUAUAAACACCAAAACAAUCUCCAUGGCUAUCGAAACUGAAUCCAAAACCCAAACUAAUGGCCUUGCCGUUCGCGCCGUUUCUGUUGAAGUUGAGGACGCCGUUGCUGUUGAAGUUGAGGUCAUCGAAGAAGAGGAAAAAAGGGGAAAAAUCUAAAACCCUAAAAUUUCCUCCUUUUCAGAUUUCGGGUUUGGGGAUGAAUUUGUUGUGUUGAUUUGAGUUUAGCUUGAAGAAGAAAGGUAGAAGGUUGGAUUGGUGUGGUGAAAACUGAAAACAGAAAGCAAGUAAUAGCUUUGUUGUGUAAGUUUGAAGGAAUUUUUCAAGUUUAAAGUGGUACUGGGUUUUGAUAUGGUAUGCAGAUUUGUAGUUACAUAAAAGCUGAGUUUGUGUGCGUGAUUCAUUUUCCUGUGUGUGUGUUAGAGACUGUAGAUCCAAAUUUAUGAAUUAAAAUUUGGGGAUGAACAUCAAUGUUGUUUGGAAUUAAAAUUACCCCCUUUUCUGCUGUUUUUUAAAUUAAAAUUAAUUGGUUUUUUUAAAUUCCAAAAAUAUGUUUGAAUUUUUAAAAUAUGUUAAAUAGCAUAAUUGCCACGUGGAGGACAUGUGGGAAGCUUAACACAGUCAGCAACUGACACGUAGGUAGAAAUGUGACAAAUCAGCAAAAAAGUGGAUUCAGUGACUAUUUUUAAAAACAAAAAUUUUGCAGGGAUGGAUUUCAAAAAAAAAUUUAUCAGGGACCAAAAACCAAACUCGUUAUAUUUGCAGGGAUCAAAAACAUAUUUUAACCUUUAAAAAAAUUAUAUAAUUUAUUAUAAUUAUAGAAACUGUUCAAGGAAUAUCUAUAUUUCAUAGCUCUGCGCUAACUUUGACGCCCUUUUUCAAAAUUUCUUAAUAAAAUGAUUUGUAGUUGGAAUGUCGGGAACAUAUUAUACGUUGUUGUGUGUGGGAAGAGUGGAGACAGAAGUAACAUCCUUUGAUUUUGUCUUUUUCUGUGCCACCUGUCUCAUUCCAAAUUGUUGGACAAACAACGUUAACCAAUUUUCUGUCGUUUUAUGAGUCCAACUAUCACUGUUCAAUUCUCACCCUCACACUCUUCAGCACCCUUCUUUCUCCUCAAGAACCACACAAAGGUAACAACAUCACUUCUUCUCAAUCUUGUGUUCUUCAUUUUUUUGUUUGCUCUGUUUCUAUAUUCUACUAUCCAUUAUUCACUUAGUCAAAAAAUGGGUAACUAAGUUUAGCUUAAAGGUUUAAUCUUUCCUUCUUGAAAUCAACUAUUUUAAAGCAUUUGAAUGCGUUGUUAACUUCUUUUGUUGUUUAUGGUUCAUCUUUGUUGACAUGAAUUUCAACAAUCUAGUAUGUUUGUGCAUUUUGGCUCUGUUUGGAUUGACUUACUUUUGAGCUUAUACAAAAUAGCAUAUUUAGAUAAAUGAGCUUUUAUGUAUUAUUCAUAAGCUUAAGCUUGUCAAGGUUGCUUAUGAAAAAACAACUUGUGAAAAUACAAUUUUCAUUAGUGAGAGAAUUUAUGAAUUAACAUAAAAAUUUUUUUUUUUUUUUUUGCAAAAGCUAUUUUUCAUAAGCUCAAAAAUAAGCUAAUCCAAAUGGGUCCUUUAUUUGUUACAUUUCCUUUUUUUGCAGAUUCACUUCCAUUCCAGAUUGCAGGUAACAAUAUUUUUCUCUCUUUUCAAUCCUUUUUCUAAAUUCCAGAACUUUGGUUUGAUAGUCCUGAGUUAUUGUUUUUGUAAUGGCCACAGAACCAUUUUAGUCCGCGGAUAUGUGAGUAUGUAUCAAAUUUGCAAAUACAUCCCUAGUCAGAAAUGUAAUAUUAUGCAGCUUGUAAUAUUUGCAAAAUGGGAGUAAUAAUUUACAAGAGUAACUUAGCAGCUAUAAUUAUUUUUUCCUUUUCUCUUUUUGUAGCUUUGUGAUUGUAGUUGAGAAAUUGUUCGUUAACAUGUGUAUGUGUCUCGUUGUUGGAAGUUUUUUUCUUUUUUUGUUUGAGAAAUUGCAUUGCCUCACUUGUUGGAAGUUCUUUUUUUGUUCAUUUGAGAAUUUGAUGCAUUCACAAUCACAUUCACAUACGUCUUCAAUUGCCGCAAAUUUCUAAGUCUUUUUUUAACUUCACAAUAUGCAACUCUGCAUUGAAAUUUGAUCGAGAGUCAGUCACACAUCGGAUAGAAAUAUGGUCUAAACUGAUAUAAGUGGUGAUCAACAUCUCUGACAUUAAAAGUUGAGAAUAAUAUAGGAGUUCCAAAAGUGAAACUGCUCAAAACAGACAUCACCUCUGUCUUAGGAAUUGGGAGUAGAAACAAAAAUUGAAGUGCAGCAUCGAUCUCAGCAUUGUUGGGCUUGCAUUGCUUUAUAAAAGUGGUUUCUGAUGUAUAGUUUGAUUUGCCUAAUGCAUUUAUUUAUUUCAUUAGUCCUCAUCAGAAUACAUAAUAUGAUAAUAAGAUCCUAAUGGAUAUGGAUAUUAGAUAGAAAUCUUGCCAUUAACUUGUUUCGUGAUGACAUGUGGUGAACAUAAGAGGUAUGAACUUCCUAAGUAACUCAUUUAGAAACUAAUCUUUUCAUAUGCAUUUACAAAUUAACUUUUUUUACAGACUAAACUUGCUUAAUGCUGCUAUGCAUGUAUAUAUUUGUGAUUGUGUAUGAGAUAUUGCUUACAUACUUUAUAUGUUUAAUUAUAUGAAAUAACUACUCACUUACGUUUACAUAUGGCUUCUGGUUACUCUUCAUACAGUACAGCAAUGGGAAAGCUCAGAUAUUUUACUCUCGCCGCUGCUUCAAUUGCUUCACCUGUAAUUUCUCCACACCUUGGAUUCCGCUUACAAAAUGCUGAGACUGUUCCAUAAAUUAACCGAACCCGUUUCAUUGACCCAACACAAGCUUCCACCGAGAGGAUUUCUGGUCAGAGAGAGUUUGAAGAGUGGAAACAACUGUUUCAAGGGCUGACAUUAGCUUCAACACAUUCACAUAGUGUUAGGGUUACAAGGAUCACCAAAAAUAUUGUUGGCGCCAUGCAUUCAGAGAUCAACAAAUUGAGGUCUAUUUCUGAUGAUAUUUCUCAGUAUGGCUUUUGGCACCGUGUUUGGUUGCGUAUGACCCGAAAGCUACCACCUUCUUUGUCUCAUUUGGAUGGAUUGAAUUGGGAGGUUUUGAUCGUGACUGGUGUCCCUGUUACUUCUUUUCCUUCUUUAGUUUGUCCGGGUGGGAAGAUUAUUGCAUCCACUACUUUCAUUGAGCUUCAUCCAACUGAUGUAGAGUUAGCAACUAUGCUUGCACAUGAGAUUGCACAUAUUAUGGCUCAUCACGGUUGUGAAAGGCGGUCAGAGUUCUUUCUGAUUUGUAUGAUAGACCAUGUGCUUAAUUGAUUUGUCACCAUUGAUUUUUACCAAACAGCGAUGAAUUGGAUGAAUCGACGGUUUGAAUAUGAAGCUGAUUACAUUGGGCUUCUACUGAUGGCAGCAGCUGGCUAUGAUCCCCAGCAGGCACCUAAAUACUAUGAGAAGAUGGCAAAGUUAGAUGCACCUGUAAAAUAUCCGGUGCUUGCAAGUUUUCCAUGUAGCCAUCCACCAGGAAGAGAAAGAGCCAAAGCGGUGGCUCGACCGGAGAUAAUGAAGGAGGCUCUUCUUUUGUAUUAUGAUGUCAGAGUAAGCCAUUGGGUUGAAUGAUUUCAUUCUUCAGGACACUAUAUUCACCACCUCCAGAAACUACAAAGUGCAUUCGCAUUAGAAAAGGUUUUCAUUUUUAGUUAACUUCUAUGUUUGCUUCGAUCUCUGUAAUUUUGCCAAUAAAAAAAAACCAUUGCACUAGUACCAUCAUUAUAAGAGUAAAUAUUCAUGAACACACAUUUUCCCCUACCACCCAUAUACACACACCUAGAUGGCAUUUGUUAUUAUUUUUUUUAUUUUAUUAAUGCAAGAAAAACACAGCAACAGUGGCCUUUAUUAUUAUUUAUUAUUUAUUUUAUCAAUGCAAGAAAAACAAACACGAGUCUUUCCCUUCGCUCUCUUCUUUCUCAUUUCUCCAUCUCCACAUAUCACCACCACCGCCACCCCAUUCUUCGCGCCUCCAACCCUCUGUCAUCUUCUCACCUUUCUCCGACCCUAACACCACCAGAAUCGCCACCUCUUCUCUUCAAAGUUGCAACCGCACCGCCGCCUCUUCUUCCUCAUAACCACCGCCGCCUGUUUUCAAGCUGUUCAGAUCCAGAAAUGUCACAUCGCCGGUGAUCUUCUUUUCUCCCGCACUGUAUCAUUUUUUUUGGUUCAGAUCUAACGUUUUCUACGGAGACGGUAAAUCCGGCGGCCAUAAGGCCGAGGGAGGCAGUGGGUUGCUCGAAGAAGAGACAGAUUAUAUGUUCAUCAAUAUACAAACAGUUGCAACUACAUGAUCCAUUACUUCCUUGUAUAGUCUCAAAUUUCUUUUUGGUUUUUGAAUUUGGUAUUGUUUGUUUUAAUGGUAUGAGUGGACUACAAAGAAAGCUAAUAAACCUCAUUAAUGCUCAAUUGCAGUAACUUAAAGCAAUUAACGGAGAGAGGGGUUUGAGGAGAGAAGAGGUCUGAAAUUAAAAAAAAAA